rnacentral:rRNA from 1 species
UGGGGAACUUUGGACAAUGGGCGCAAGCCUGAUCCAGCCAUGCCGCGUGUCUGAAGAAGGCCUUCGGGUUGUAAAGGACUUUUGUCAGGGAAGAAAAGGCUGUUGCUAAUAUCAGCGGCUGAUGACGGUACCUGAAGAAUAAGCACCGGCUAACUACGUGCCAGCAGCCGCGGUAAUACGUAGGGUGCAAGCGUUAAUCGGAAUUACUGGGCGUAAAGCGAGCGCAGACGGUUACUUAAGCAGGAUGUGAAAUCCCCGGGCUCAACCUGGGAACUGCGUUCUGAACUGGGUGACUAGAGUGUGUCAGAGGGAGGUAGAAUUCCACGUGUAGCAGUGAAAUGCGUAGAGAUGUGGAGGAAUACCGAUGGCGAAGGCAGCCUCCUGGGAUAACACUGACGUUCAUGCUCGAAAGCGUGGGUAGCAAACAGGAUUAGAUACCCUGGUAGUCCACGCCCUAAACGAUGUCAAUUAGCUGUUGGGCAACUUGAUUGUUCAGUAGCGUAGCUAACGCGUGAAAUUGACCGCCUGGGGAGUACGGUCGCAAGAUUA